rnacentral:rRNA from 1 species
CAGCCGCCACGGGAAUACGUAGGGUGCAAGCGUUAAUCGGAAUUACUGGGCGUAAAGCGUGCGCAGGCGGUUAUAUAAGACAGAUGUGAAAUCCCCGGGCUCAACCUGGGAACUGCAUUUGUGACUGUAUAGCUAGAGUACGGCAGAGGGGGAUGGAAUUCCGCGUGUAGCAGUGAAAUGCGUAGAUAUGCGGAGGAACACCGAUGGCGAAGGCAAUCCCCUGGGCCUGUACUGACGCUCAUGCUCGAAAGCGUGGGGAGCAAACAGGAUUAGAUACCCGGGUAGUCCCUGUCUCUUAUAC